CAGCUAGUUGGUGGGGUAAAGGCCCACCAAGGCGACGAUCCGUAGCUGGUCUGAGAGGAUGAUCAGCCACACUGGAACUGAGACACGGUCCAGACUCCUACGGGAGGCAGCAGUGGGGAAUUUUGGACAAUGGGGGCAACCCUGAUCCAGCCAUUCCGCGUGAGUGAAGAAGGCCUUCGGGUUGUAAAGCUCUUUCGGCAGGGAAGAUUAUGACGGUACCUGCAGAAGCAGCUGCGGCUAACUACGUGCCAGCAGCCGCGGUAAUACGUAGGCAGCAAGCGUUGUUCGGAGUUACUGGGCGUAAAGCGUGCGCAGGCGGCGGCACAAGUCAGGUGUGAAAUCCCCGGGCUUAACCUGGGAAUUGCGCUUGAAACUAGGUCGCUAGAGUGUGGCCGAGGGGGGUGGAAUUCCACGUGUAGCAGUGAAAUGCGUAGAGAUGUGGAGGAACACCGAUGGCGAAGGCAGCCCCCUGGGUCA
rnacentral:rRNA from 1 species